CCUACGGGGUGCAGCAGUGGGGAAUAUUGCACAAUGGGCGCGAGCCUGAACCAGCCAAGUAGCGUGAAGGAUGACUGCCCUACGGGUUGUAAACUUCUUUUAUAAAGGAAUAAAGUGAGGCACGUGUGCCUUUUUGUAUGUACUUUAUGAAUAAGGAUCGGCUAACUCCGUGCCAGCAGCCGCGGUAAUACGGAGGAUCCGAGCGUUAUCCGGAUUUAUUGGGUUUAAAGGGAGCGUAGAUGGGUUGUUAAGUCAGUUGUGAAAGUUUGCGGCUCAACCGUAAAAUUGCAAUUGAUACUGGCAGCCUUGAGUACAGUUGAGGUAGGCGGAAUUCGUGGUGUAGCGGUGAAAUGCUUAGAUAUCACGAAGAACUCCGAUUGCGAAGGCAGCUUACUAAACUGCCACUGACAUUGAUGCUCGAAAGUGUGGGUAUAAAACAGGAUUAGAUACCCCAGUAGUC
rnacentral:rRNA from 1 species